CAGCAGCCGCGGUAAUACAGAGGGUGCAAGCGUUAAUCGGAAUUACUGGGCGUAAAGCGCGCGUAGGUGGUUUGUUAAGUUGGAUGUGAAAUCCCCGGGCUCAACCUGGGAACUGCAUCCAAAACUGGCAAGCUAGAGUAUGGUAGAGGGUGGUGGAAUUUCCUGUGUAGCGGUGAAAUGCGUAGAUAUAGGAAGGAACACCAGUGGCGAAGGCGACCACCUGGACUGAUACUGACACUGAGGUGCGAAAGCGUGGGGAGCAAACAGGAUUAGAGACCCCCGUAGUCCCUGUCUCUUAUAC
rnacentral:rRNA from 1 species